rnacentral:tRNA from 1 species
GGCGACGUACCCAAGUGGCUAAGGGAGCGGUCUGCAAAACCGCCAUCCACCGGUUCGAAUCCGGUCGUCGCCUCCA